GCCUGGGUGGCUCAGUCGGUUGAGCGUCCGACUUCGGCUCGCGUCAUCAUCUCGCGGCUUGUGGGUUCGAGCCCCGCAUCGGGCU
rfam:Felis catus isolate Cinnamon breed Abyssinian chromosome A3, whole genome shotgun sequence.